rnacentral:rRNA from 1 species
UUCGGACGGGUGAGUAACGCGUGAGAAUCUGCCCUCAGGAGGGGGAUAACGGCUGGAAACGGCCGCUAAUACCCCAUAUGCCGCGAGGUGAAAUGAGAAAUCGCCUGAGGAUGAGCUCGCGUCUGAUUAGCUAGUUGGUGGGGUAAGAGCCUACCAAGGCAUCGAUCAGUAGCUGGUCUGAGAGGAUGAUCAGCCACACUGGGACUGAGACACGGCCCAGACUCCUACGGGAGGCAGCAGUGGGGAAUUUUCCGCAAUGGGCGCAAGCCUGACGGAGCAACGCCGCGUGAGGGAUGAAGGCCUCUGGGCUGUAAACCUCUUUUCUCAAGGAAGAAGAACUGACGGUACUUGAGGAAUAAGCCACGGCUAAUUCCGUGCCAGCAGCCGCGGUAAUACGGGAGUGGCAAGCGUUAUCCGGAAUUAUUGGGCGUAAAGCGUCCGCAGGCGGUCUUGAAAGUCUGUUGUUAAAGCGUGGAGCUCAACUCCAUUUCAGCAAUGGAAACUAGAAGACUAGAGUGUGGUAGGGGCAGAGGGAAUUCCCGGUGUAGCGGUGAAAUGCGUAGAUAUCGGGAAGAACACCAGUGGCGAAGGCGCUCUGCUGGGCCAUAACUGACGCUCAUGGACGAAAGCCAGGGGAGCGAAAGGGAUUAGAUACCCCUGUAGUCCUGGCCGUAAACGAUGAACACUAGGUGUCGGGGGAAUCGACCCCCUCGGUGUCGUAGCCAACGCGUUAAGUGUUCCGCCUGGGGAGUACGCACGCAAGUGUGAAACUCAAAGGAAUUGACGGGGGCCCGCACAAGCGGUGGAGUAUGUGGUUUAAUUCGAUGCAACGCGAAGAACCUUACCAGGGUUUGACAUCCUGCGAAUCUUUUGGAAACAGAAGAGUGCCUUCGGGAGCGCAGAGACAGGUGGUGCAUGGCUGUCGUCAGCUCGUGUCGUGAGAUGUUGGGUUAAGUCCCGCAACGAGCGCAACCCACGUCUUUAGUUGCCAGCAUUAAGUUGGGCACUCUAGAGAGACCGCCGGUGAUAAACCGGAGGAAGGUGUGGAUGACGUCAAGUCAUCAUGCCCCUUACAUCCUGGGCUACACACGUACUACAAUGCUACGGACAAAGGGCAGCAAACUCGCGAGAGCUAGCAAAUCCCAUAAACCGUGGCUCAGUUCAGAUCGUAGGCUGCAACUCGCCUACGUGAAGGAGGAAUCGCUAGUAAUCGCAGGUCAGCAUACUGCGGUGAAUACGUUCCCGGGCCUUGUACACACCGCCCGUCACACCA